rnacentral:ncRNA from 2 species
GUACGAUAACGGCAAAAUCAUUGAAAAAUGAUGACGCAAAACUAAUAGGGGCUACUGUCAAUGACUAAGCCAGCCAGUUUCCGAA